UUCUAUGGGCAUACCACUCUGAAUGCUCCUGAUCUUGUCUGGUCUGGGGAGCUAAGCAGGAUUGAACCUGGUUAGUACUUGGAUGGCUUCCUGAUUUGUGGAGUGGGAGCUUUCUGGAU
ensembl:rRNA nuclear encoded rRNA 5S 98